AGAGUUUGAUCCUGCUCAGGAUGAACGCUAGCGGGAGGCCUAACACAUGCAAGUCGAACGGGAUUGGUAGCAAUACCAUGAGAGUGGCGCACGGGUGAGUAACGCGUAUGCAACCUACCUGUAACAGAGGGAUAGCCCAUAGAAAUGCGGAUUAAUAUCUCAUAGUUCUAUUAGAUCGCAUGAUUUGAUAGAUAAAGCUCCGGCGGUUACAGAUGGGCAUGCGUGACAUUAGCUAGUUGGUAAGGUAACGGCUUACCAAGGCUACGAUGUCUAGGGGUUCUGAGAGGAUGAUCCCCCACACUGGUACUGAGACACGGACCAGACUCCUACGGGAGGCAGCAGUGAGGAAUAUUGGUCAAUGGGCGCAAGCCUGAACCAGCCAUCCCGCGUGCAGGAUGACGGCCCUAUGGGUUGUAAACUGCUUUUAUACACCAAGAAAAAUCCCCACGUGUGGGGACCCGACGGUAGUGUAUGAAUAAGCAUCGGCUAACUCCGUGCCAGCAGCCGCGGUAA
rnacentral:rRNA from 1 species